GUGUUUUAUCCUGCCUCAGUUGCAAACAUUGACCAAAUAAAGCAGGGUCGGAUAAACUAGUUGAUAUCCGGCAGUACAUCACGUGACCGUGAUCUAACCGUAAGUAUGUAUUCAUACGCGCCGAUUAACAUGUUCUAAUAUUUGACCUUUGAAAUUUAUUGGGACGCAUCAUGAAAGUUAUCGUAAUAUUAUAUAUCAUCAUUUUUAUCUUCUUAAAAAUAUAUUACCGAACCAGACUUCCGUAUUUAUCAUGUUCAUUUACUUGAUUACGCAAUUUAUGACGUAUCUAGUGUGACGUCAUUUCUCUGACAAAACAUACUAUCUAGUUUCUCUCAGGAUUUUAGGGACAACAAUUUUGACGUGGUGGUUUUAACAGUAUUUUUUAAUAUUUUAAAGCAUCGAACGAAUCAUAAAUGUUAACUUCGAUAGGAAUAAAAUAAUUCGCUACGACAGGAUUACGGUUUCGUUAAUCGGGUUUUGGGUCAGAAUGGUUAGCAUUCGAUACAAACGCUAUCAAAAAAGAGUGUGGUUUAAAAUACAUUCCGAUAAUAGAGAUGGAAAAACAGAAAAUGGAUUCCGACAAAGGGAUGGAAGAACAGACAAUGAAUGUGUAUAUCGUUGUACAUUUAUUGUUAUAAGCAAUGGAUUAAAGUUGUCAUUAAGAUCCUUUGAAUCUUGUUGCGAAGAGGCCUUCGGACGGAAAAAGGCCAAGUAUACAUACCUGUAAGAACAGUGCAGAGAGAAGGGACGGCGAGUGUGGCUCUACCCGUGGAAAUCGGUGCUAGAGGAUUCCCCGCACAGUCGCUGUGGAGAAUGUUCAGUGCCUUGGGCAUCAAAGGAGCAGACAGGAAGAGAGCAGUGGGCAAACUGAGCCCAGCAGCAGAAAGUGCAUGCAGUUGGUUGUGGAUGAAGAGAGAGGACAGGACCUGGAAACCUACCAUCAACACGUAGUGUCUGAUCAACACUGCGGGCCCUCCGCCUGGAGAGUAUCCUGUGAUUAAAGGGCCGAUUCACUUGUUGAAAGGCGGUUCUCAGCUGAGAAUGUUGGUGGUACUAAUAUAAACAUAAAUAUUUAUAAACAUAAAUAUUGACAAAGUAACAGUUUGGUAGUACAUAUAUUUAUACAUAAAUCUAUAAUAUGUGUAUUACUGAUAAUAAAUGAGGUUUGACAAUUGGAAUAAAGAAAACAUAAGCGAG